UACGAAGGGGGCUAGCGUUGCUCGGAAUUACUGGGCGUAAAGCGUGCGCAGGCGGUUCUACAAGACAGAUGUGAAAUCCCCGGGCUCAACCUGGGAACUGCAUUUGUGACUGUAGGGCUAGAGUACGGCAGAGGGGGAUGGAAUUCCGCGUGUAGCAGUGAAAUGCGUAGAUAUGCGGAGGAACACCGAUGGCGAAGGCAAUCCCCUGGGCCUGUACUGACGCUCAUGCACGAAAGCGUGGGGAGCGAACAGG
rnacentral:rRNA from 1 species